rnacentral:rRNA from 1 species
UGAGAAUGUGCCUUCGGGAACCGUGAGACAGGUGCUGCAUGGCUGUCGUCAGCUCGUGUUGUGAAAUGUUGGGUUAAGUCCCGCAACGAGCGCAACCCUUAUCCUUUGUUGCCAGCGGUCCGGCCGGGAACUCAAAGGAGACUGCCAGUGAUAAACUGGAGGAAGGUGGGGAUGACGUCAAGUCAUCAUGGCCCUUACGACCAGGGCUACACACGUGCUACAAUGGCGCAUACAAAGAGAAGCGACCUCGCGAGAGCAAGCGGACCUCAUAAAGUGCGUCGUAGUCCGGAUUGGAGUCUGCAACUCGACUCCAUGAAGUCGGAAUCGCUAGUAAUCGUGGAUCAGAAUGCCACGGUGAAUACGUUCCCGGGCCUUGUACACACCGCCCGUCACACCAUGGGAGUGGGUUGCAAAAGAAGUAGGUAGCUU